CUUAUGAGGGGGGCUGUGCAAUACAGCAACAGGAGUCCUUACCUCUGGUGUUUCCUGACUCCAAAGUACUGAAUUUAAAAACUAAAUUUUAAUUUAAUUUUAUUUUAGUGUAUAGUAACUGAAAGGAUGCCAGAUAGAAGGUGGCACUUUCCCCUUACACACAAGGAGUGUAGGAACUACAACUUGUUGUGUUUUACUGUAACAGGUGAUCAUGAUUUGAACAGGGAUCUCAGAAUUACCUUAGGUGAGAUCACUUAGCAGAUCACUGUUGGAGGAUCUGCUAAAUACUUAAGUCAAAUUAUUUAAACAAUGGUUUUCAAUAAUGGCAAAGUGGUUCAGGAUUACAUUAAACCAAAAGUAUUUUCUAUAAUCUUUCAGGGGAAUAGGCCCCCACUGGGAGUUAAAAUUCUGGUACAUUUCCCAUUCAGUUUGUCAGUUCCAAAUUAAACCAUAAGCAUAGUGGAAACAGUGCAAAAUACCUCUGCAAAACUUACAAAAAGCACAAAAAACCCCUGAGGGUGCAAUUUUUGGCACUGUAGAGGGUACACCCAUUGUUUGAAAAACAAAUCCCAGUCAGUGAAUCAGAAAAAGUGACUAAGAGCUGCAGGGCACCACGGAUCUGUCCUGAACAAGAGACAGUAUGGAGCAGCCCUGUCCAGGAGCACGCCAGGAGCCAGGCUGCUGCUCAUCACCUCUGCUGUAAAGGGUGAGGGAGGGAAGCAAGGAGCACACUCUAGCAGUCCUUUUAUGCACAACCUACUUUUCCACAGCAACUCAGCCACACUCUCUGCCUCUUUGGGAGCAGCUGAGUCAAAAUUCAGCUCUCUCCUUGCUCUAGCCAGGGUUCAGGUCCUUUCUCCAGCUCACACCCCUGCUGCCCAACAGUGUGCUGCUGCCCUCUGCUCCAGCCUGGAUGCCAGGGCAGAAACUCUUCCCAAGGGGCACUGGGGAAAGCCCUGAGUAACCUGCUCUGCUCCGAGUGCUGAUCCUGCUCUGAGCUGGAGACUGGAGAAUUCCCAACACCUCAUCCAACCCUAACAAUUAUAUCAUUUUUAUGAAUUACAAAAACGUGCUUGCUUUCUUUACAGGUGUAUCUUGGGCAACUGGUGUCCUGAUCCUUAACAAAUAGAUAAAAGACUAAAGCAAACCAAAAGAGUAACUAUGCAACUGCCUGCAAAGGAAUCAUCACAGCGAGGAUUUAAUCACGAGUUUUUAUUUGGCUUUGCAGUUGGAAUAUGACAAUACACUAAUGGUUAAAACUGCAUUUCAUUUUGAUCAUUGCUCUUGAAUAUUAGUUACCAGUUACACUGCUGCUCUGACUGCCAGUCAGAGCUGAACUACAACGACAACUUUGAGGAAAAAGACAGAACUUGUACAACUAUCUGCCUCGUUGGGAUCAGAUCUGUGGCAAUGGAGAAGCCGCCGGGCUGGCAACCAGCAAAUAGUUGACAAAUUUAGAUCAGCUUAAAUCUCCUGCCUUCUCAUUAACAAAAGCUGGAAGAAGAGGCCAAGGAAUAUACACUGCAGCUACCCAAGUCAGCACAACAAACAAAUAUGAAAACAAAGACAAAAAUGCCAGAGACAGAAAAGCAACAGAACAAGAGAACAUAUCUGGCAUCAACAGAUAUUUGUACACAUUUCAUUAUGUCGUCAGAUAAGUAAUUUAAUGAAACGGCAAGUGUACCAGUGUCUUACCAGGGUAUUAUGAAUAGCACUUAAAUUAUGGCAGUGCAUAAACCAGGACAUUAGUAUUCUAUCCACCUUAAAUAAAAAGUUUUGACGCCAUCAAUUUUAAUACCCAGUUGCUUUAAGAAGUUGGCUACAGCAUCAUGGCAGCCUGCCCAGGUUCUUUGCUCAAUCAAGCAAUAGUUGUCUUUGACCAAAAAAGAAAAAAAUAGCCAACAGUAUCCUUGCUGAAUGUCUGCUGGGAUCUGCUAUCUAUACAGGAAUAAGGGAAUUAAAAGAAAAUUAAAACAUUAAAAGUUUAGUAUUUUGGCUAACCGUAAUAUUACAAAAUUAGUCAUUUUAGUAAUUCAUUAUUGAAGCUAUCCAGUUUAGAGUAAUUUUUCAAAAAAAACUGCCAUGCAAUUUUUACCUAUUAUUUUGAUUGUAUGUACAUAAGAACUAACAUGCUGUAGAUUUAGUCAGAAAACCUGCAUCAUUUACCUCUGUACUAUACAAUACAGCAUGUCACAGUGCCCUAGGCAAGGUCACCAAACUCCUAACAAUGCUGUAGGAUGUGACAGAGGAAUCCAUCUUUACAAAUUAGACUUCAUUAUACAUGAUCCUGCUCAUAAAUCUUGAUGUAUCGUUUUCUAGUAUAAUAACUCUACUUUGCACUUGCAUGUACAUGUACUAGAUAUUCUAAUCCAGAUCUUCUAAUUCACAGAGUAUUUUACAAAUACACACUGGGUGUGUGCCCCUGUGCAUAAAGCCACUGUGCUGCGGCAAUAGCAGUGCUCUAAAUGAGACCCGACCCCCUGGAGCACCUGCCCUGCUCUGUGUCCUUCUGGUCCCCACCUGGGGAUGGAAAAGCUGCAGGAGGCCGGUUUUCCAGAGCAGAGUAUUUGUGACGUGCAAAGCAGAGGCUGAUGCUCCUGCGAGUGCCCUACUCUGAAAGAUCUGCAUGCCCAGAUUCUAUUAUACAGCCUGAUGCAGUCCUAGUAAAGUAACUGUACAAACUCCAAUGCACCUGGUAAGAAGAGAAUCAGACCUAAGGAAAGAGAAACAUACUGCUUUGCCAUUUGUAAACUACUGAAAGACUGUGAUAAAAGUACAACUUCUUUCCUUUCCAUUCUCUUGUCUUUAAUUAUCAUGAAUCAGGAUUUUUUUGUUAGUUAACUCACCUCACAAUAUUUGCCUACUUGUAGAACAAAACAAGAUAGGUCAUGUGGAGGAAAAUGUGGUAAGAGUGCAUCCUUGGUUACUAUGUGCUGUUUAGAGGACACAGGCUCCUUACCCUAGUAUCCCUUAGAAAGUAAUACUAAAACAAAAGAGGAAAUAACAGGGUCUACAAGAUCAGUGAUGCAGUCUGAUCCUACUAAGUGCAAUGCCAAAUUUUAUAAUUAAUUUAAUUCCUCAGGAACUAACUGUAAUGAAGCUUCUUGAAAGUUACAAUACCCAAAAUGGUGUUCCUGUGCUUUUGUAGCUUCAAAUAGUAGCUCAGACAGCCUAGAUAUAAACACAUCAAGUAAUAUUUAUAACUUUGGCAGUGGUCUUUAUCUCUUUGGGGGUCCUAGAGCUCUGGAAUUUGUUUUCUAUCACAGCUUAAAUGGUCUGGGUGGGAUGUUGUAAGUCGGGGUUACCACUGGAAGGGAAGAAAAGAUUUGAGGUUUUCCAUUGCUUGUUUUCCUAACAGCGGACUCCAGUGAAUUUCAGACUAAUUCUGUGGUUGAAGUUAUGUGAAAAGCACCAAGGGCAUAUGAGUAGGUGUCCUCUUUGACAUCUAAGUAAACAAACAAAUAUUCUGGAUAGAGAAAAGUAAGAAUCACUGUGAAUGAGGACAAAAUGUUCUAGCUUGUGCCCUGGCACUGUCUCCUUGUUUUUGUAUUUACAUAUACAAUUUAUCAUCAUUUUAGGGUAGCUUUAACAAGAAUAAGUUAUAAAUUAGUUUCACUCUUUUCUGGUUUAUCAAGAGAUUGGCACCUAUAUGCUCAUCCUACUUCAUUUUAGCUUUCUGAAGCUCUGGGAAAGGAUUGCUCUGCACUUUGCCAACAGCAGAGCACUACUGGCUUUCAUUAGUAGGGGCCAAAUUCUUUCACUUUUGUUCACAGUGAUUAAUGCUGAAAUAAAUGGAACUUCUUGCAGUAUUCACUGUGAAAAGAUUCUAAGUAUGCUCAGAUACAGACUACAGUAACAAAGUGUCUGCUGUUUGACUGUGCUCCCUCUCCCUUGCUAGAACAGGCAUGGAGGGGAUGGGGGAAAAUUAAGCUUUAAUUCUAUUCAUACAAAGGAUGAUAUUUUAUUAUUGUUAUUAUUAACAAGCUGUUUUCUCAAAGUGCUUGGAAGCAAAAACUGGAUGGAGCUGAAGUGCAAUCUUUGCCCUCAGGAGAUUGCAAACUAAAUAUAAAACAGGACACCGAUGGAGAGAAGACCUGAUUGGGGUAGGAAGGGUGGAGUAUGAGAGAGCAACAGAACAGUACUGGCCAGAGUAGUAACUGCUGGUGUACUUCUGGCACACCAGAAUUAGCGUCUGGGAGCACUGAUGCAGAGUCAGCAAGAGAGUCUCCAAGGAGGUUAAUGUGCUAUCUUUAUAUAUUCAGAGGACCAACUUUAAAGAACAAGGGACAUUUUUAACAAAAGCAUGCAAAUGUGUAUUUGAAAACAUAAUGAGUAGACAGCAAAAGCUGGGAUCCUGUACACAAACAGCCUGUGGGAAGAAAGCUUUUAAUAUUGAACACAUAGGUGAGGCGAGGGAAGGGCCCUCAAACUUCAGUCAAGCAGCCUCUACUUGAUGCACCACAAAGGCAGGAUGAGCUGCAAUGAGCAGUGAUAGCAGAGAACUGCCAGGGUAUUUGCAUUUGGGAUGCAAUGCAGUAGACCAGGUUGUGUCUAUCAAGGCAGAGUAAAUGGGAACAAAAGUGAAAAGGUAAACGUGGGAAGAAAUUUUUUUCUACAGCAGUCAAAAAAUUUCCCCUGGAAACCUCCUUCUGACUAAACCCAUUGUUUCUUAAAGAAUAAAAAUUAGAGAAAUCAUAUAUUUUUCUGGAAAAUAAUGGAUUUUUUGGGUUUAACACAGCAGGAUUUUCACAUUCUGGCCAGCUUUAAUGUGCACUUUUCUCCCCAUCUUGCAUUCUGCUUAUAUCUAGCUCUUGCAGGUUAUUUUUUAAUAACCCCUCUACCUCUCCAGUCUCUUGUACUAAUACAGCCUAAAUUGUCACAGGGCAUUAUAAACUCCAGGUGAAGGUGCUGUGUGACAGGCAGGAGGUUGCUCUGUUAUAUGAGAAUGGUGAAGACAGGGACAGCGAGGCAGCUGUGGUACAAAUGAUGAUUGGAUGGAUUGCCCUCUGAGUAAACAGGGCACUUCUGUGGAACAGUGGACAACCAAGCUGAUGCUUCAGCUGAAAUUCUGAAGAAUUGCAGCCACAAGAGCCCUUGCACAUUUCUCAGAUAACAGACAAGAAGUACGGACAAAACAAACCAAGUGCCAAUAAACUUUCACUUCCUUUCAUAAGAUGCUCUGUGGACAUUUUUAAAAUACAUUACAUUGAAGAUAUGAAGUCUUGUGCUGAGCAAAGCCAGUCUCUGUAGAAAUAGCCAAUGCUUCAAUGAUUAAGCAACUGGGAAAGUAGACUACAUUUUAUAUGUGUAGAUGUAUUGGUUUUUUACUGGAGCUGAGCUUGAAAUUUUGAAGUGAUUAAUGCCCUUGAAUAAGUGAGCAGCUAUAUUGAAACACAAAAUGUCUCAGCACAGAAUAUUGCCCCUGUUCUUCUCAUUUCAGCUUCUGGUGUCUGAUUUUCCCCCUCCUCUUCAGUCACUUGACAAAAAUAUAUUGCUUUAAACUACAUCUUUCUUUGCUCUCAAAAUGCUCAUUUCCUUAAUAUUGUAUUGGGAUCUUGUCUAAGCCACGAUUUUUAAUUUUUUUUUCCCUAAACUUCCAACUGUUAUUACCAUCACAGUAGAAAUAAUUGGAACAUUUGUGUAAAAAAGCCUUGCCUUGCAGCAGUCAAUGGCAAUUUAGCACACACCAUAGCAGGAUAUUGGUUCAGAGACCUGGGAGCUUUUUCUCUUUAUUUUUUUAAAACUCUCCUGGAUUACACAGGAAAACAUGAUCAAUCUUGACAGCAGGUUCUAACAACAAUGCAAGCAAAUUGUUCCCCAAAUGAAUUUACUUGUGAGAGUAAGAACUUUUUUCAGAUACGCAAAUACUUCACUGCACACACACCUUUUGAGUAAUCAGGCUACUGACUGAUGGCAGCAUAUUCCAAGUAUCAUAUCAGUAUAUUGCAACCUUCAUCACUGGCCACACGGCUACUAUUUAAACUUAUUUAACAGAUUUAAAAUAUAUACAUUUGGUAGAAU